rnacentral:rRNA from 1 species
UAGGGAAUCUUCGGCAAUGGACGAAAGCCUGACCGAGCAAUGCCGCGUGAGUGAAGAAGGUCUUCGGAUCGUAAAACUCUGUUGUCAGAGAAGAACAAGGACGUUAGUAACUGGACGUCCCCUGACGGUAUCUAACCAGAAAGCCACGGCUAACUACGUGCCAGCAGCCGCGGUAAUACGUAGGUGGCAAGCGUUGUCCGGAUUUAUUGGGCGUAAAGCGAGCGCAGGCGGUUGCUUAAGUCUGAUGUGAAAGCCCCCGGCUCAACCGGGGAGGGUCAUUGGAAACUGGGAGACUUGAGUGCGGAAGAGGAGAGUGGAAUUCCAUGUGUAGCGGUGAAAUGCGUAGAUAUAUGGAGGAACACCAGUGGCGAAGGCGGCUCUCUGGUCUGUAACUGACGCUGAGGCUCGAAAGCGAGGGGAGCAAACAGG